CGGCAGGCUUAACACAUGCAAGUCGAGCGGGGGAAGGUAGCUUGCUACCGGACCUAGCGGCGGACGGGUGAGUAAUGCUUAGGAAUCUGCCUAUUAGUGGGGGACAACAUCUCGAAAGGGAUGCUAAUACCGCAUACGUCCUACGGGAGAAAGCAGGGGAUCUUCGGACCUUGCGCUAAUAGAUGAGCCUAAGUCGGAUUAGCUAGUUGGUGGGGUAAAGGCCUACCAAGGCGACGAUCUGUAGCGGGUCUGAGAGGAUGAUCCGCCACACUGGGACUGAGACACGGCCCAGACUCCUACGGGAGGCAGCAGUGGGGAAUAUUGGACAAUGGGGGGAACCCUGAUCCAGCCAUGCCGCGUGUGUGAAGAAGGCCUUAUGGUUGUAAAGCACUUUAAGCGAGGAGGAGGCUACUUUAGUUAAUACCUAGAGAUAGUGGACGUUACUCGCAGAAUAAGCACCGGCUAACU
rnacentral:rRNA from 1 species